UACAUGGGGUGCAAACGUUGCUCGGAAUUAUUGGGCGUAAAGCGCGCGUAGGCGGUUACUUAAGUCGGAUGUGAAAGCCCUCGGCUUAACUGAGGAAGUGCACCCGAAACUGAGUAGCUAGAGUACGAAAGAGGGUCGCGGAAUUCCCGGUGUAGAGGUGAAAUUCGUAGAUAUCGGGAGGAACACCGGUGGCGAAGGCGGCGACCUGGGACGAUACUGACGCUGAGGUGCGAAAGCGUGGGGAGCGAACAGG
rnacentral:rRNA from 1 species